UUAUCACUACGGGGCGCAGCAGUAGGGAAUCUUCCACAAUGGGCGAAAGCCUGAUGGAGCAACGCCGCGUGGGUGAAGAAGGUCUUCGGAUCGUAAAACCCUGUUGUUAGAGAAGAAAGUGCGUGAGAGUAACUGUUCACGUUUCGACGGUAUCUAACCAGAAAGCCACGGCUAACUACGUGCCAGCAGCCGCGGUAAUACGUAGGUGGCAAGCGUUAUCCGGAUUUAUUGGGCGUAAAGGGAACGCAGGCGGUCUUUUAAGUCUGAUGCUAAGGCCUUCGGCUUAACCGGAGUAGUACUUUGGA
rnacentral:rRNA from 1 species